GACGAACGCUGGCGGCGUGCUUAACACAUGCAAGUCGAACGGAAAGGCCCUGCUUGCAGGGUACUCGAGUGGCGAACGGGUGAGUAACACGUGGGUGUUCUGCCCUGCACUUCGGGAUAAGCCUGGGAAACUGGGUCUAAUACCGGAUAGGAGCCAUUUUUAGUGUGAUGGUUGGAAAGUUUUUUCGGUGUAGGAUGAGCUCGCGGCCUAUCAGCUUGUUGGUGGGGUAAUGGCCUACCAAGGCGGCGACGGGUAGCCGGCCUGAGAGGGUGGACGGCCACAUUGGGAAUGAGAUAAGGCCCAGACGCCUACGGGAGGCAGCAGUGGGGAAUAUUGCACAAUGGGCGCAAGCCUGAUGCAGCGACGCCGCGUGGGGGAUGACGGCCUUCGGGUUGGAAACUCCUUUCGCUAGGGACGAAGCUUUUUGUGACGGUACCUAGAGAAGAAGCACCGGCUAACUACGUG
rnacentral:rRNA from 1 species